rnacentral:ncRNA from 2 species
GUAGCCUUCACGGGUCGAGGUUCUCUGGCGCUGCCAGAGCUAAGAGGGAACACGGAAAGCCGUGGCUGCCCCCGCAACUGUAAAUGACUGACCCUUGGGUGCGCCGCGUAGCUGGCGCGCCAGCCACUGCAACUGACGCGGGAAGGCGAGGGUAAUGGCAGACGCGCCACGCGUUGCCCGGUCGUGAGCCAGGAGACCUGCCUCGCUACACAUUGACAA